GUCCCUACUGCGUACAUUAAUUCUCACGAGAUGUUCCAAGUCGAAAAAUCGAGUCUCGAGAUCCGUUCACAUGCUCGCGUUAAAAAAGGCAUCAGGCACUUGCUGCUCCAAUCUCCGAUAAAGAGGCAUUUUCAUAUAAUUAAAAUUUACGCAAUUGUACCAAAUUUUAAGGAUAGGGUGUAUUCACAAUAAACUAAAAGAACAAUAAAUUGGAUGUAAUUUUAUAUAAUUGCUUGACCAGAACCAAAUAAUAAAUAUAUUAUACAUCCUAAUGCAUCUAUUAUAGCAAUGAAUAUAAAUACAACAGGCCAGCUGUGCGUUACAUGUAUAGCACCAACAGUGUUCAUUAAUCCAAAUACACUUCCGGAAUGUUUUGGUGCAAGAUCUGAAGGAUUUACUGCAAUUGCAUUAUUAUGAAAACCUGAUCCGCCAAUUAUAAACGCAAGACAAAUUAUUGCACUUUGAAAAGUUUCUACUUUUGCU